rnacentral:rRNA from 1 species
GAUGAACGCUGGCGGCAUGCCUAACACAUGCAAGUCGAUCGGUAAGGCUCUUCGGAGUACACGAGAGGCGGACGGCUGAGUAACGCGUAGGAACACACCCUGCAGUGAGGGAUGAGACACCGAAAGGUGUUCUAAUACCGCAUACGGUCUUCGGAUUAAAGCAUUUAUGCGCUGAAGGAGUGGCCUGCGUCAUAUUAGAUAGUUGGUGAGGUAAUGGCUCACCAAGUCGAUGAUGUGUAGCUGGUCUGAGAGGAUGAUCAGCCAGACUGGAACUGAGACACGGUCCAGACUCCUACGGGAGGCAGCAGUGAGGAAUAUUUCACAAUGGGCGAAAGCUUGAUGGAGCAAUGCCGCGUGAAGGAUGAAGGCCCGCGGGUUGUAAACUGCUUUUAUAAGAGAAGAUUAUGACGGUAACUGAUGAAUAAGGGACGGCUAACUACGUG